rnacentral:tRNA from 2 species
GCCCAGGUAGCUCAGUGGUAGAGCACCCCCUUGGUAAGGGGGAGGUCGUGAGUUCAAGUCUCAUCCUGGGCUCCA